rnacentral:ncRNA from 1 species
AAUAAAGUUUUAUUUUAGCUUAAAAGUUUGUUAUUAGUUUAAUUUAUAUGUAAAUUUUUGUGAGGAAUUUUAUUUAUUUUAAUAGUAAAUAUAUUUUGUUUUAUUCGCAGUAAUUGGUAUUAUAAAUUAAGUAAAUUUAGAUAUAGUAAUAUUAUAGAGUAUUGACUAAAUUUGUGCCAGCAGUCGCGGUUAUACAAAUAAUACAAAUAAAUUGUUUUAGUUUGAGUUAAUUUGUUAAUUUAUAAAAUUAAAGUAGAUUUAUUAGGUGAAAUUUUAAAUUUAUGUAAUUUUGUAAAAAUUUUAUUGAAGCUCAGAAAUUUUAUUAAUAAACUAGGAUUAGAUACCCUAUUAUUUAAAGAGUAAUUAAAUAAAACUUAAGUAGUAAUAGAUAAUUUCUUGAAACUUAAAAAUUUUGGCGGUAUUUUAGUCUAUUCAGAGGAACCUGUUCUGUAAUCGAUAAUCCACGAUGGACCUUACUUAAAUUUGUAAUCAGCUUGUAUAUCGUCGUUAUUAAGAAUAUUUUAAAAGAAAGAUAAUUUUCAUAAAAUUUAAAUAAUAAAAUAUCAGAUCAAGGUGUAGUUUAUAUUUAAGUAGAAAUGGGUUACAAUAAAGUUAUUUAUAUGGAUAUAAAUUUGAAAUAGGAUUAUUGAAGGUGGAUUUGGUAGUAAAUUAAUAAAGAUUGAUUUUUUGAUUUUAGCUCUAAAAUAUGUACACAUCGCCCGUCACUCUUAUUAUUAAGGUAAGAUAAGUCGUAACAUAGUAGAUGUACUGGAAAGUGUAUCUAGAAUG